rnacentral:lncRNA from 1 species
GAACCUGAAAAUCCGCGAUCCUCACUUACUACUCCUCGGAAACCAAAUCUUCACUUGCUUCCACACACUAAGGGUUCAACACGAGCAAAAGAUUGCAAAUACACUUCCUCAACUCAGAGUUACAAACAACUGGAUUGACCUCCGAGAACAUUACUUGGCAGCAAGUCCAACUUACAUGCCAUCUCACCAACCUAUCGACAAAACCAUGGGUCUCC